rnacentral:rRNA from 1 species
AACGCGAAGAACCUUACCUGGGCUCGAAAUGCUGUGGACCAGCUGGUGAAAGCCGGCCUUCCCGCAAGGGACUGCAGUAUAGGUGCUGCAUGGCUGUCGUCAGCUCGUGUCGUGAGAUGUUGGGUUAAGUCCCGCAACGAGCGCAACCCUUGUCCUGUGUUGCCAUACCGAAAGGUGGAACUCGCAGGAGACCGCCAGGGAUAACCUGGAGGAAGGUGGGGAUGACGUCAAGUCCUCAUGGCCUUUAUGUCCAGGGCUACACACGUGCUACAAUGGACGGUACAAAGGGCUGCCAACCCGCGAGGGGGAGCCAAUCCCAAAAAACCGUUCUCAGUUCGGAUUGCAGGCUGCAACUCGCCUGCAUGAAGCUGGAAUCGCUAGUAAUGGCAGAUCAGAACGCUGCCGUGAAUACGUUCCCGGGCCUUGUACACACCGACAUA